CGUGUUCCCGACCAGCGUUGUGCGAGUCUGCAGAGGGUGAGCGGGUGCGGCGGGAUCACGUUCCAUCGAAGUCACGAUGAUUGAUUUUCCACAAAGCGGCGAGUUUGAUCCAGUUGACAGCUUUUUCGUUCCAGACAGGUGCCGUGAGAAACGGCAUCGGGAUGUCGCGGGGAGGGGGCAGGUGCCAUGCUGUAUUCUGUCUGCUGCUCUAUCUGGGGGCCACGCGGUGUCUGCGCACAUAGUGGAGGGCAAGGGGCAUCAGUACCGAACAGAGUAACCUUGUUUCUACGACAUCCAUAACUGUUAACCAGGCUCUAGUAUCUCCGGACGGUGAUCGGUCAAGCCAUUUUCAUAGAACAAUUCUGUUUUUAUUCACUUUCUGGUAACUUCCGUAGGCCCUGACUCAAGGACUUAGCGUCGUGUCUCAUGUACAUCUUUUCUUAAAUGUUCUCUGCCAUUUCUGGAAUUGUCCUUGGUUUUUCCUUAGCUCAUAGAUCAUAGAUGCAGAAAUAUUAUAGUAUUUAAGGCAUCCGCAUCAAGCAUCAGAUGGCUUUGCAUCCAGAAAAACAUUUAACGAUAACUCCGUUUGAAGCACCACGCAUGUGUAACAUGGCUCUAUAAAAUACAAUAAACGCAUAACGUUGUUAAGCUUUUCAACGCCUGUGGUUCUCGUUUGUCCCCCAGUCCUCCAAGCCGCCUCUCCCCGAGUCUCCUUACACGGGAAACCUGGCCACAAGCUGCCUGGGGUGGCUCCUCGUGGGUUUCCUUCCGGCACGGAAACGGAAACGCACAGGAUUCCACGCGUGCUGGCGAGAACUUCCUGAACAUCUCCCCGCUCCGAGAUGGGCUGAUGGGCCAGAGUUUUCAUGAAGAGCCCACCCGCUUUUCAGAAAGCACAGCACGGCCAGAUGACAUUCUCAUGGCCCACUGAUGCCCAGUGGCCGUUCUGGGAGCUCUGGUGCCUAAAAGAAGGGCUUACUAACUGGAAUAAGACUUAACAGCCUGAUAAACUAUAUCCCGAGAGCUCCUGAGGAUUUGGCUAAAAGCAAAAUGCAGAGGAGCGUCCUGCUCUGUCCUGGCUGGGGCCCUGGUGUUUUGGUGUACUGAUCAAGGAGAUUCACGUGACUUUCCCUCCUUUUUGCUAAUGAUGGAAGGGGCUGCUGACAGAAUGUUGCUGAGGUGGCGAGUCCCAGGCCCGCGUGAGGCCCAGAACUGCUGAGCGAAGGCUUGAGGUAGAGCUGAGCUGAGGGGCGGCCGUGGUCAAAGAUCGAGUGUGCAUUUCUGGGUUUUAGAUGGGAAGGAAGCGAGGUCAUGGAGGGCUGUGGAAUUGCUUCCGUGGGCACCGCGGCAUAGCGGGGAGGCCAGCGUCCCUCCUUUGCCCUUGUCCCUAUCUCCAGCUGGCUGUGGGGACAUCGGUUUAGAACCUGACUUGCCCAGGACCAUGCUCGGCACGGUGAGCAUUGUUUCAUUUUCUCCUCCAAACUGCUCUGGGAGGAGCUCUGCAGCACAGCCCCAUGUCGUGGUCGAGGGUCACUGGCAAAGGUCCCGGCAGUCGGGAUUCAAAACCCAGGCCUGCCUGCCUUCCUCCUCCUGCCACUGGGCCCGCUGCCUGAGUGGAUCUCCGACCCCUUACGAAGAAGCCGCGGUCCCUAUUUAGGGGGCAGUACCAUACCCGCCCUGCCCAGAGUCUUAGAGGGCAUUCCUGGCCUUGGAAGCUGGCUCCUGGGGCUGCUCACGAGUGGCCAACAGGCCCCCUUAUUCUGGUUCCCAGCUGCUCCUCUCCAGCUUCCUGCAGUCACUACUGAGCCAGUCUCCUAGCUGGGGCUCUCACCACCCCACCUGAACCUGCAGUGGCUCCCCUCUUCCUGCAGAACAAAAUCCAAAGCUUUCCACCUAUGCUCAAAGCUAAGCCCCAGCCCUGACCUACUUUUCCAACCUCUCUCUCCCAUCUUCCCCUUCCCCUUGCAGUUUUUCAUUUCCAAAGCUUCCCCUGCGCUGGAACUCCCAGGUUCGCUCAUUCGUGCAACAGUCCGGAGGGCGAGCUGUGUGUCAGGCGGGGUUUUCUGUGCUAAUGGAACUUGCAUUACAGCUAGCGGGGCGGUGGCAGGGCGGGCUCUGAGGAAGCUUGCGCCUAGCUGAUAGUGACCUGGAUCGAGCGCCCCCACCCCUUUCAUCAUCCGCUACAUGUUGCUUAUGUACUAGUCCCCAUGAGUCCCAGGAGCUGGUGGCCAGAGCCCCUCUCCGGCCCUGGCGGGGCGGGGGGACUGCCCAUCCUCCCCUCCCCACCGCCCCCUGCCUGGCCUUGGCAAAUUCCUUGUCGCCUCUGCCCUGCCCUCCCUCCCGGGCUGCUGGGCCGCAGGGCCCAAGGGUUCCUCGCUGUGCGCCUCCACCUCCGGCCGCGGGGGGCGCUGUGUCCGGCCGCUCUCCCGCCCCGCGGAGAGGGGUGGGGCCAGGUGCGCGUGCGCGCGGCGCUGGCUGCCCGGGUGCCCGGAAAACCAGCCCUGCUGGGAAGCCGGGGGAUUUCCGGAGCCCGCUGGGGCGGGGACGCUUAGGGUCCCCUCGUGGGCGGCAGCGCCUGUCGGGGGCUCGAGCACGGCUGGGGGGAGGGGCCGGGGAGGGGGGUGCGCAGCCCCAAGUGCAGAUGACCUUGUGCAGAUGGGCCGCCGGGGCUUCCUCUUCCUCGGCGCGGGCUGCGGGGCCUUCUCCCUUGGGAGGGCAGCCCGGGCGGCCGCGGAAGGCCGCAGGGCAGGGGAGCCACUCCGGGAGUGCUCCUGGUGCACCCCCCAGACCGGAGGGGCCGGGGGAAGAGGCCCCAGGCAGCCGACCACUCCCGUGUCCCGGGGAGAGUCAGAGCCCGGUGUCGCGGAGGGUGGGGGAGGGGCGGCCGAGGCGGGGGGGGGGGGGGUUGGCUUCUGUGAAGCGGGUUGGGAGGAAGCUGCAGGAAGCCCUCCAGGCCCCGCCGCUUUUCUGGUCCACCCUCGUCUGACAGGCCCCCUCAGCAGCCCGCUUCCACGCCCAGAUCCCCCUCCGCUCCCCGCUCUGCCAAGUCACCCGCUCUGAUGCCGGUCACUGGCCCCCACCCAUCGUCCCUGGGGACCUCAACAUCCGUCCUCAGGGAUGGUGCAUCGCCUAGCCAGGCUGCUUCCCGGCCUCCUUAUGGUGACCGCGCCCCAGCCUGCCACCGCCACAGGGGCUCCCAAACCUUGUUUUCGCUGACACCUGCCCACUCGGGUCUCUGUCCUGGGGUCCCGCUCGGCCCCUCCUGCCCUCGCCAGGGUCGAGCCCCAGCCUCUCAGCCUGGGCGCCCCUGGCCCGAUACCUUCACCACCUGGCCCCUCCAAGCCCCGUGUCCUGGCUUCAUUCCCUCCUACGUUCUCGCCUUCCCUUGUCCCUCUUUCACUUGCCUGGCAGACCCCAAGCUGGCCCUGUACUCAGGAGCCUCUCUGCCGUCCGUCAGCCACCUGCCACGCAGGAGUCCACUCCUUACCUCGCCCUUUCUUCACACCCCCUGGCCCAGCACGUCCCCCCAUGUGUGCCCCCUGUCUUGUGUCCCCGCUGUAGUCAGCCCCCCCUCCCGUGCUGCCCAAACCUGCCUGGACGCCCCCAGGGAGGCUUUCAGGUUCUGCCAACCCUGGAGAGCCACCCAGUGGUGACACCUGGAGGGGGCUCCAGGGAUGAGAGGGUGUGGGGGAGGGGUGUGGUCAAGCAGGCUGAUGGUUACAGCCUGUGUGAGGCCAGGUGGCCUGGGAGAGUGUGGCCAGGGCAGGGUGGGAGCCAGUGUCCCCGCGGGCUGAGCUCCCAGCAGCCACUGGGCCACCGCAGAAAGGAAGCAGAGACCAAGGGGCACACGGGCUGGGUGGGCCGUGGCCCUGUCCAAGGUUCCUGCCCCUCUGGGGCCUGACCCGCCGCUCCAGGGUGUCCGUCACCUGCAGCCACAGAACUUGCAAGAGAAGACAGAGAGGCCCAGGGGGACGGCCACGCGAAGACAGAGGUUGGAGCAGUGUGUCCACAAGCCGAGGGUCACCAGCCACCACCAGACAAGGAGGGAUGCUCCCUCAGAACCUCCAGAAGGAAGCUCACUGCUGCCACAGGAUCCCAGACUUCUGGCCUCCGAACUUGGAGAGAAUAAACGUCAGUUUCGGUUACACAGCAUGUGGUGUUUUGUUACGGUGGCCCAGGGAAACUACUGCAAGUUCACCGUCAAGUGGAGAAAGCACAGAACAGUCAGUACCCAGGUCACGCUUCUCGGGGAGUGCGUGUUCCCACGUGCUGGCUCCGCCCUCCCAGAGCUGCCCCCGGAGCCGGAGGCCGCCCCUGCCUGGGCCAGGGAGGCGGGGACAGGCUUCCCGCUUCACAGCACAGUCCGGUUCCGUCCACAUUUGUAUUUUUUUUUUUUACCACGUGAACACAUUACUUACUCCAAAUAAAUAUAAAUUCAAAACA